GCAGCUUCUAUAUCCCUGUAACUGUCACGGCUUCAAACAGUAGAUAGGGCUAGUGGCAGUUGAAGGAUGGAACUGAGCAUGUGCGACCACUUCAGCAAGGUGGAUAAAGAAAUAAGGAAAUGAACGAACAGCAGGUGGCGCUAU